GACGAACGCUGGCGGUGUGCUUAACACAUGCAAGUCGAACGGCAAGGCCCUGCUUUCGUGGGGUGCCCGAGUGGCGAACGGGUGAGUAACACGUGAGUAACCUGCUCUUGACUUUGGGAUAACUUCACGAAACUAGGGCUAAUCCAGGACAGGAGCUCCUGUUGCAUGGUGGGGGUUGGAUAGUUUCGGCGGUCGGGGAUGGACGCGCGGCUGAUGAGCUUGUUGGUGGGGUAGUGGCUUGCCAAGGAUUUGACGGGUAGCCGGCCUGAGAGGGUGACCGGCGACAUGGGGACUGAGAUACGCACCAGAGUCCAACGUGAGGCAGCAGGGGGGAAUAUGACACAGUGGGCCGAAGCCUGAGGCAGAAGCGCCGCGUGCGGGAUGACGGCCUGCGGGUUGUGAACCGCUUUCGCCUGUGACGAAGCGUGAGUGACGGUAAUGGGUAAAGAAGCACCGGCUAACUACGUG
rnacentral:rRNA from 1 species